rnacentral:rRNA from 1 species
UAGUAACGGCGAGUGAAGCGGGAUGAAGCUCAAUCUGGGAAUCGAGAGUGGAAGCCCACGCCUCGAGUUGUAUCCUAGAGACGUAUUGUCAGCGUGUGACCUCGGUACAAAUCUUUUGAAACAAGGUAUCAUAGAGGGUGAGAAUCCCGUCCAUGACCGAGAGUUCGCCGCGUACGACGUAUGUUUUCCGAGUCGAGUUGUUUGGGA